CAAAUACCUUUGUUGGGGAUCCUAGGAGUUCAAACAACCAAAACAACAAUCAACAAACAAGAUUCAAGGCAAAAACAAGAAAAUAAACCGGAAGAAUACUCCCCUUCUUUGGCCGAAAUCUGUCCAGCUUCUUCUUCUUCGUUUCAGCAGCUUCUUCUUCGAAUUUAUGGGUGUUUUUCAGGCUCAGGAACAGCCUCCAUGAUAUGCCAAUUGCCUUCCAAAAGAGAGGGGAAAAAUCCAAUGAUGAACCACCACCCUUUUGCUAAAACGAGAGCUCCACCUUCUGCUGGGUCUACUCCAAAACGAGAGCUGCCCCCUCCUUUAUAUAAAAUGGUAGAGAGUCCAUAUGAAGGAGAAGGAAGGAAGACCAUGCCUCUGCCAAAACGUGGGAAGACCUUAUUGUGUCAACCUCACUCCCAUCAACUCACAACAUUAGGUGGUGGGGUUAGGUGAACCAUAUCCUCACAUUCCUCACCUUGGUUCUCCUAACACUCUCUCUUGGUUGCGAAUUUGCACAUGGAAGAACUGUUCAUCAUCAUCGCCCACCACCUGCAAGAAAAAUUAACCAGUGUCAAUGUGUAAUAAAGAUAAGCACAAUCUAAAUUUACUUGCAGGUAGAAUUUUUGUUCCCAUGUUAGAGGGAUUCCUAUCAGUGUGAAUUUUAACAAGAUUAACUUCACCUUGAGACAAUUUCUCACGUAUAAAAUGAUACUUUACCUCAAUAUGUUUAGUUCUUUCAUGGUAAACAGGAUUUUGACAAAGCAAUAAAGCACUUUGACUAUCAGUAAACAUAACAGGUGUAUCAUGCAUGAAGUUCAAUUCUUUUAAAAUUCCUUUUAACCAAGUACAUUCUUUAGCCGCCUCAGUUAUGGCAACAUAUUCUGCCUCAGUACUUGACAAAGUAACUAAAGGCUGCAGCUGUGACUUCCAUGUUAUACAAUUGUCACCAAGUGUAAAAAAAUACGCUGUGGUAGACUUUCUGCUAUCCUUGUCACCAGCAAAAUCAGAGUCUACAUACCCCUUUAGAGUAAGUUUUUCAGAUCUCUUUUCAUACACUAGACCCAGAUUUAAU
rnacentral:lncRNA from 1 species